rnacentral:rRNA from 1 species
UAAUUGAAGAGUUUGAUCAUGGCUCAGAUUGAACGCUGGCGGCAGGCCUAACACAUGCAAGUCGAACGGUAACAGGAAGCAGCUU